GACGAACGCUGGCGGCGCGCCUAACACAUGCAAGUCGAACGGAGAUUGAUUGAAAGAUUCUUCGGAUGAUUGAUAUCAAUCUUAGUGGCGAACGGGUGAGUAACGCGUGAGCAAUCUGCCUUAAAGAGGGGGGACAACAGUUGGAAACGACUGCUAAUACCGCAUAAGCCCACACUACCGCAUGGUAGAGUGAGAAAAGAUUUUAUCGCUUUAAGAUGAGCUCGCGUCUGAUUAGUUAGUUGGUGAGGUAACGGCCCACCAAGGCGACGAUCAGUAGCCGACCUGAGAGGGUGAUCGGCCACAUUGGGACUGAGACACGGCCCAAACUCCUACGGGAGGCAGCAGUGGGGAAUAUUGCACAAUGGGGGAAACCCUGAUGCAGCAACGCCGCGUGAGUGAUGAAGUAUUUCGGUAUGUAAAGCUCUAUCAGCAGGGANAAAAAGACGGUACUUGACUAAGAA
rnacentral:rRNA from 1 species